UUCUUGUGUACAAACCUGAAGCUCUUGUGCACGUGUUAAGAAUGUGUCCCAUGCAGGAACAGGCUUUGCAUGAAUCCAGUCCCUGUCUAAUGUUGCUUUUAAUGUGAAGAAUGGUACAGACAGAUUUUUCUGUAAGUUCAGAGGAAAGGAAAAUCCUAGAUUUGAAGGUAGAAUGUAGGAAGUAAUGGUAGCAGUGAGGAGAAGAACAGGAGGAGAAACUAGAAACUGCUGAAUAAAGCUAGGCUUCUUCAGAGGAGCAUUGCCCUUGCUGCCCAUAUUCUCAGUCAUGUGAGAAAGGAAAAGCUUUUGCAACUACCCCUUACCUGUUAGGUUAUUGCUUACCUGACUAUCAAGGUGGGCACUGCUGCUAUUAGAGGACUCACAACAAAAGACAGUGAAACUAACUACAGUUAGGAACUAUUUCUAUUCUGUUCUCAAAGAGAAAACGAAAAGCACUACAAACAGUGGUUACUUUGGCUACAAUCUCACCACGUCUCUCAGAGGAGACCUUUAAAUGAAGAGACUGCAAGAUUGCAUCUGGUGAGAACUUCUUUGAAUAAAACGUACUGUUCUCAAAACCAGAAGCUGUUGUAGCAUGUUAAAGGCUUCUUGUAAAUAAGCAAUACAGUAGAGUCCAUUUUGAUUUAUGGCUGGAAAGCUUACAAAUGGGCAAACAUAGAAGAUGAUAAAUCAAAUCUUAAUAAACUGUGUGUGUGUGUGUAUAAAUAUCCUAUUCAAGAAGUUCAUUUCUGAAAAGUAUGAUUUUAAAUUAAAACAGCUAUUUCAUUUUGAUUUUCAAGUUUAGUGUAUUUCUCAUCUCCAGAGUUGUCUGAACCAUAUUCAUGUUUAACAGAAGAAGCGAUUACUGUCUUAAAUUAGAAUAGCAUUUCAAUGAGCCAUAAAAUGCUCAAAUCUAAUUUAAAGAUAGUGCUUUAGCAAAUACUCUUUCAGCUUUACUGUUAGUCUGAGGGUUAUCGCCAUGUUUUAGGAGCAGUGCUGAGCAGGAAGGCUUAUUUCCAGGUGCACCACACUACCUUAAACAGCACCCCUUUCUCAACAGUUAAUUGAGAUGAGCAUGCUGCAAUGUAAUUCAAGGCAUUUCUACUCUUGUUUUAAAUGUGCCCUGGAGAACAUGGCACAUGUCUCCUUGGGUUUGGCUGGACUUAAAUAUUCACCUCUUUCACUGACAUAUCACCUUCCGGGAUGGAUCUAUUACCGUCUUCAAGUUGUGAUCAUAACAUCUAAUGGACAUACAGAAGGAGGUGGAAGCUUUGGAUUCGUAACCCCUCAUUCCACAUGAAAGUGUGGACAUGUUUCUCCAUAUCUUUGAGCCUGAAAAAAUGUAAGUAUCUGGUGGUAUCAGAGAUAUCUCUCUGAUACCACCAGUUAUAUUUAUCUGGUGAUAUCAAAGAGCUGGAGAUGCUUGUUUUGAUUCUUAUAAUGCCAGAUAGGAAAGUAAAUACUGCAAUUUUUCCUAUCAAAUUUCUCCACAAAUCCUCUGUUCUUGUAGUGUCAGGCUGGGUUUUACAUGUAAACCAGAUCACAUGUGUGGGAUUUCAGAGAUUUGGAAUGCCAUUUCACAUUAACUUUGUUUCUGAAUUCCAUCUAAAACAACCAGAGGAGCUACCAUCUAAAGGCCUAUGUAAACUCGCAGUAAAUAAAAUUGGUUAUGUCUGUCAGAGAAAUUUUCAAAUUGCAGUUUCUUAGUUGACCCAACAGGGAGUCUCUUGGUUGCUCAGCAUGGAAAUGAGACUUAAAUCUU